rnacentral:tRNA from 1 species
GGAUAGUAGUUAAAAAUAACAUUUAAUUUGCAUUUAAAAAAUAUUGAAUAAUCAAUUUAUCUUAAA